rnacentral:rRNA from 1 species
CAGUCGCCGCGGUAAUACAGAGGGUGCGAGCGUUAAUCGGAUUUACUGGGCGUAAAGCGUGCGUAGGCGGCUAAUUGAGUCGGAUGUGAAAUCCCCGAGCUUAACUUGGGAAUUGCAUUCGAUACUGGUUAGCUAGAGUGUGGGAGAGGAUGGUAGAAUUCCAGGUGUAGCGGUGAAAUGCGUAGAGAUCUGGAGGAAUACCGAUGGCGAAGGCAGCCAUCUGGCCUAACACUGACGCUGAGGUACGAAAGCAUGGGGAGCAAACAGGAUUAGAUACCCCAGUAGUUCCUGUCUCUUAUAC